UGCAGCACUCUGUGAUCACACAGGUAGACACACAGGUGAGCACACAGGUAGACACACAGGUGAGCACACAGGUAGACACACAGGUGAGCACAAAGGUAGACACACAGGUAGACACACAGCUGAGCACACAGGUAGACACACAGGUAGACACACAGGUAGACACACAGGUAGACACACAGGUGAGCUCCACAGGGCCCGCAGUGGAAAAGACACUGGCUUAAAUGAGUAUACUAGAAGCUAGAUGGCUAGUUAGCUGCUGAAGCUACACGAGUGGUAAGCUGUUAGUUGCUGUGAGGACGGACUCAUCAGUAGCUGAUUUUAACUGCCUGGCUUCUUCUGCACGCUCACAUUUGCUUUGCAGCAUCGACCAGAAAGAAGGCUCCCCGUGUCUUCGGCCAUGGCCUCCGAUAGCCCCUCCUCCCAAGCAGCUUCCACCUACCUGACCGCGCACACCAACGAGAUGGUGGAGCUGCAGCACCUGAACGGCCGCUUAACCAGCUACAUCGAGAGGUUGCACUUCCUGGAGCAGCAGAACCAGACGCUGGCGGCGGAGGUGAAGCGGCUGCGAGGCCGUAAGCUCACGCGCUUUGAAAGGCUCAUGGAGCAGACUCCCCAGAAGGAGGACGUGGAGAGCAACCUGGCUGCUUCCGGGGGGGUGACGCCUGUGUAGCGUGUCUCCACCCACAGCUUCUCCACAACGCAGAAGAAGCUCCUCCUGACGUUUCUCGUAUGUCUUCCUUCAUGUGCAGAGCUGCUGACCGUUAAAAGCAAUGUGGACGCCUCUGACCCGUUUGUCUUACUAUGCUAAAAAUCACAGCUCAACAUUGUUAAGGAACAACAAGGCAGCUCGCUGAGGUAGAGUGAAGAAAAGAGGAUGUCUUCAGAGAUACAGAACAGCGGAGCGAAGUGAAUGACCAGCGAGAGAAGAGGCCUAAGGGGCACGUGUGAGGGAGUAACGCUGUACAUCAGUAACAACGUUGUAUCUUUACCGUGAAGGACAUGAGUGAGUCUCUGUACCUGCAACAUCUGCUCCACCGUCAGCUUCAUCAACGGGUCGACAUCAUGUGAGGAGGAGCAGAGAGAAGAAGAGACGACGAGGGACAAGAACAUAGAGACUCUUCUGGGUUAAAGCGUGAGCAGCAGAGUGAUGCUGUUAUUCACUCUAUUGGGAUGUAUUUAUCUGUGGUUUAAUGUAUAUAUAUUAUAUUAUAUUUCCGAGAAUAACUGAGACGGACUUGAUUUGUUUUUUGUAUCAAUUCACAAUAAAAUGAACAUAAUUGCAUCAGAGAGGCUGCUGACAAAUAAAAGAAUUUUCCAAUGGCCUAAAAAAUAAAACACUGCAUGAACUUCCUGAUUUCUGUCUAUUUAAGUUAAAUGGAAUGAGGAAACAUUUAUUGUCAUAAUUUGUCAGACAUACAAGGAAUGUGACUUGGCGGUUGGUGCGUAA
ensembl:lncRNA